GUUCUUUUGUUUAUAUAAAAGAUUUGACCUGCCCAAUGAUUUAUUUAAUGGCUGCAGUAUUCUAACUGUACAAAGGUAGCAUAAUCAUUUGUCUUUUAAUUGAGGUCUAGAAUGAAUGGUUUGAUGAAAAAUAUACUUUCUUUUUUUUAUAAGAAAAAGUUAAUUUUUAAGUUAAAAAGCUUAAAUAUAGCUAUAGGACGAGAAGACCCUAUAGAACUUUAUUUUUAUUUUUAUAUUUAUAAUAUAGAUUAUAAUUUAUUUAUAUAUUUAUUAAAUUGUAUUGGGGUGAUAGAAAAAAAUUAAUAACUUUUUUUAUUAUUUUCAUUUAUUUAUGAAUUUUUGAUCCUUUUUUAGGGAAAAAAGAUUAAGUUACCUUAGGGAUAACAGCGUUAUUAUCUUGGAGAGUUCUUAUCGAUAAGAUAGUUUGCGACCUCGAUGUUGGAUUAUAAUUAAUAAUAGGAGUAUAAUAUUAUAUAUUAGGUCUGUUCGACCUUUAAAUUUUUACA
rnacentral:rRNA from 1 species